GCAGUCUGAAACUCGCCUACAUGAAGCUGGAGUUGCUAGUAAUCGCGAAUCAGCAUGUCGCGGUGAAUACGUUCCCGGGCCUUGUACACACCGCCCGUCACACCAUGAGAGUUGGCAAUACCCAACGUACGUGAUCUAACCCGCAAGGGAGGAAGCGUCCUAAGGUAGGGUCAGCGAUUGGGGUGAAGUCGUAACAAGGUAUC
rnacentral:rRNA from 1 species